CCUACGGGAGGCAGCAGUAGGGAAUAUUGCUCAAUGGUGGAAACCCUGAAGCAGCAACGCCGCGUGCAGGAUGACGGUUUUAUGAUUGUAAACUCCUUUUGUUAGAGAAGUUUAUGACGGUAUCUACCGACUAAUCACCGGCUACCUCCGUGCCAGCCGCCGCGUUAAUACGGAGGGUGCAAGCGUUACUCGGAAUCACUGGGCGUAAAGAGUGCGUAGGCGGGGUAAUAAGUCAGAUGUGAAAUCCUGUAGCUUAACUACAGAACUGCAUUUGAAACUGUUACUCUGGAGUGUGGGAGAGGUAGGUGGAAUUCUUGGUGUAGGGGUAAAAUCCGUAGAGAUCAAGAGGAAUACUCAUUGCGAAGGCGACCUGCUGGAACACGACUGACGCUGAUGCACGAAAGCGUGGGGAGCAAACAGGAUUAGAUACCCCGGUAGUC
rnacentral:rRNA from 1 species